CGGGGUAUAGUAUAACGGCAGUAUACACGCUUCGGGUGCGUGAGGUCUGGGUUCAAUUCCCAGUACCCCGA
rfam:Parcubacteria (Giovannonibacteria) bacterium GW2011_GWC2_44_8 TW74_C0019, whole genome shotgun sequence.